ACACACACACACACACACACACACACACACACCUUUUCUUUUCCGUUCAUCAGCUUUUCUAUUUGGGGACUUGCUCACUUGUUAGCUGUAGUUCCGGCUCUCUUGUUGCUGAAGCUCUUUUUCCACCAGCAGAGGACAUUUCCUCCUGAACAAAUAUAUCAGUGCAGCUCAGAUUCUGGAAGAAAAUUGCCUCACCUGGCAGAGCCCUCAUUUUGUGUGGGAACAUCAGCUUUGUGUAAAGAAGGCUGUCAUCCCUUCAACCUUUGGGUAGCUGUGACCUACUUCCUUGCUGUCUGGGCACCCACUGUAGCAGCCUUUGUAGCAUCAGUAGAAAAGGGAAGAAUUAGUCUACAGAGGAUGCCUCCAACCCUACUGGCAGGAACCUGGAAGUGACAGGAAUCUAACAGCACAUUAAAACUUCAAAACAAAGCCGUGAACUCUAGCAGUGUUUCUACCUUGAAGACAGAGCAUGGGAGAGAGAGUCAAGAAAACAAAGAUUUGGAACCAAACAGUUCAUCUUGCAGUUGUCUUAAAGGUACAAGUUCCCUGUUAUCUUUCUUUAUGGAGUUGGCAAAUGGAAUGAAGAACCUUAUGCAUGCUAGGCAAGUGUUUUACCAAGUGAUUAAUUUCACUUUCAGUGCCUUCCUUCCCGAGCCGAAGUGCUUCUGUAGAGACUAAUUCAGUGAAACCUGUUUAGGGGAUCAUCCCUGCUAGACAGACAGCUGCGAGGGGCAUCCGCUUCCCAGCAUGGAUUUCAGAUUAUGACCAAUGAGGAGCCGGAGCUAAGGAACACCUGUCAGCGAUGUUUGCUGCAAGGAGACCAGCUCUUUAAUCGAAUUUCAUUGUACUUCAGAAAAAGGUUUAUUUUAAAUGUGGCGUCUGCUUUUAUGAUUCAUUCCUCUCAGCUGAGACAUCACUUUGGGGCUUAUUUAUGAUGUUGUUCUAGGGUGAAACGAGAAACUGCAAGAAAGUAUUUCAAAAGGCGGCCUUUCCCAGACAUUCAAUUAGCAACCUUGUCAUGUGGGAAAAUAAAAAAAGCAAUGGAAAUCUUUAGUUUUUGUGUGUGAAUAUAAUUAUGAUAGGGAUCCUUCUGAACACACUUUAGAGUGUUGAAGCUGGAUAGUAAAUGCUCUCUGUGAAGUCUGGGGAACUUUCCUUAUGGAAAUCCAUCUCGCUUAUCUGUGAUGUGAGCAGAGCAAACUAUCAUUGAUGCUGAUGGAUUCUGAAAGGCCAUGCUGACUUUCAACUUGGCCCUAAUUGGAGGCCCUGCUAAGCCCCAUAAUACCAGGUACCUUCUCACAGCUGCAGACCAUGGAGUGUAACUAUCAGAAGACAAACUUCACUGUGCAAACUGUAAUUUAAUGGUAUAACUGUGUGCAGCCCAGAAUAUCAGUUAAUUUUCAAAACAUUUUAUUCUACAGCAAUUAGCUCAGGUCCUGGAGGGCAAAAUGACAAGAGGUUACUCGUUCACUAUGUAUUUAAUUAAUUGAAAAAUGCUCCAAUUGCCUUUACAGUUGUUAUUAGAGAGUGGAAUCAGUGUUGCCAGCGCUCAACCAUAAUUGGAACCCCAGGGAAUUAAAUAUUUAGCAUUAGUAAUGUAACGGCACUUAGGACACAAAUUUCUAUUUUCGUAAUGAAAGCUAUACACUGUGAGUGCAAGCGGCUGAAAGGACAGCUGUGACAAGCGAAACGGCCUGGGACAUUUCAAUAAGACACCUCAUUGGACAGCAAGUCUUACCACAUUAUGCGUUUGUAAGAGACCUGCAAGUUUAAUUCCCACAAGGAACUCGUAGCCCAAGUCUUUAGCGUCCUAAUUGCAUGCAGGAUGAACGGUUGGGCAAAUGUCUUGCCAUAAGUGGCUGAAAUUCAUCCUGCUUUCCAAACAAUCGCAUAUAAGUUCGUGCCUUUGUCAAUUUAAAAAUACUGAGACUGUCAGGAAAUAAGGAGCUUGUUUGUUUUCCAUUUAAUUAUAUUUUAAGCACACAUGCUUUCUGUGCUACAAUGAGAAAAGUUAGCUGUUGGUUCUAAUGAGCCGCAGUGUAGAUGCUGGAGACCCUGAGGGAUUCACUCUGUAAAUUAGCUGGAUAAAAAGUACUUGGUUAGGAUAUAGUUGAUGGCUGAGCUGUUCGGAGAACCAGUUAUGGUACUGUCUCUCACUGCUCUUUCAUUCUAAACAGGCCCUGUAGAGACUUUAACAGCUGCCCAUUAAAGCUGCUCAACUUGUCAAAAUGUAUUAUAUUACUCCACUAAUAAAUAGUAUUAAAGGGUAUUUGACUUCACCUCUCAUUUUCAAAGGGGAUCAGGUUGAUAAACACAACUGGCUUAAGCUGGUCUUAUUUUAAUUUGUUUAUGUCAGCUAAGUAAUAUUGAAGGGCCAUGUUUUAAAUUUGCAAACAUUACCUUCCCAGGCAGGCAAAACUUCCCAAAUAUGAUAUACAGUGGAAACAAGGAAUUGAGACACUUAUUGUAGACUGUUUCUCAUUGAAAGGUGCCUGAUUUUGACAUUGUUAGGCCACUUUAAAGAACCUGAGAGCCCUUGACUAAACUGACAACCUCAGAAAAAUAAAAGUCACAAGAUGAAUAAGUAAUGUCACAAGUUUCUGUUGAUUUUCCAUUGUUCCUGUGUCUAUUUUGGAUUAUUCAAAGUGAUCGUGAUUUUUUUUUAUCAAUUUUUAAGCAUUUUUCAAAACAAUGCAUGUUUACUUUAAAAAAAUACUUUAUUUGAUAAAGUCUUCCUUAGACCCUUUCCCAACUCUGCCUGCCUGCCUGCUAGUCUCCUUUGAUAAUAGGUUUUUUUUUUCUUUUGGUCUUGUUUUUUUGCAUGUGCAUGUGUAUAUAUGUGGUGUGCAUAUGUAUGUAUCUGUGAGUAUGAAGGCCAGAGAUUGACAGUUGACAUAAAAUGUCGUCUUAAUCACUUCCCACCAUUUUUAUUGGGGCAGGUCUCUCAGUUGAACCUGAAGCUUGAUGAUCAGCUCAUUCACCCAGCCAGCUUGCUCUGGGUAUAUAUUAUAUACAUACACAUGUUGGUCUAUGCUUAUAGAUCAUAAUGGUGCCUCAGAUCACUCACAUUUAAAAAUUUUGUUACAUUUGUUUUCAGGGAGUGGUCACAUGCCAAAGUGUAUUGGGGUGUUGAUCAGAGGACAACUUGCAGUUCUCUCUUUCUAUUAUGGAAAUCCCAGUGAUAGAACUCUGGUGUCAGGCUUGGCAACAAGCCUCCUUCCCAGAUUAGCCAUCUCACUGGCCUGAUGGGAGUGCUUUUUAUAACCAUUAGUACAUAUUGUGCAGGUACAAAAAUGUAUUUAUCUGUUGAUUGCCAAUGCCAUUCAGAGUAAUUCAGUUUUGCCAUAGGAAAUGAUACUGUGCUGAACAUCUUCCUAAGCAUUUGAGUGGGCAUGGAUGGGUACAGGGCUCUGUGCGUGUAACACAGAACUGUGAAUCAUCACGGACUGCACCAUUACUGUGUGCUGGGCAUUGUUCAAAAUAACUUUGGUAACUCGUUCCAUCUCUACCCUAAUUAAGAGUUAAGGUAUAGCCAGAUGGUGGUAGCACACACCUCUAAUCCCAGCACUCAGAAGGCAAAGGUAGGCAGAUCUCUGUCAGUUCAAGACCAGCAUGGUCCACAGAGCUAGUUCUAGGACAGCCAGGGCUACACAAAGAAACCCUGUCUCCGAAAACAGAAAAACAAACAAACAAACAAACAAAAGAGUUAAGGUGUAUUGUUAGCCUUAUUUUAUGUAAGGAAACUGAGGCUCAAAGGGGUUAAGCUCCUCAAGGCCACCAGAGUAUACUGUUAGCCAGUCUCUUGUGCCUUCCCCCAUGUUCGCACACACGUGCACACACACACACACACACACACACACACACACACACACACACACACACACACACACACAGCAGUACCUUCCUUGCAUGUGGGUUCAAUUGUGGUUUUCCAUACUUGUUGCCAUCACAUUUCUUCUGAGAACUAAACUGUUGUGUCUUUUCUCAUUUUAUUGUAGUAUGGCCCCAUUGGGCCACACAAAGAUCUUGACUGAUUAAGGCUGUCUCUUGUUUUUAACAGCUGGGGUCUGAACCUCCCAUGCUAGGCAAGUCUUCUACCACUGAGCUACAACUCCCAGCACUUUUGUUUUCUUUUGAGACAGGAUCUCACACAGUCACUCAGGCUACAACUGACUCAGCAGCUCAGAAGGCCUCAGCCUCCCAAUAGCUGGGAUUAUAGGCUGUGGUUUGGAUGUCUCUGAUACAGACAGUUCUUCUGGAAUAUUCCAUUUGUAGACUGCCUGGCCUUGUACCAUUCCAUUUUCUGUUGCUAUGAAUUUUCCUCUAAGCUCGGCAUUGGUUUCAUCGACCAGCCCUCCUGCUGCAACCUCUGUGUACAAGGCUUGGAGGUGACUGUCCUUCCUGCUGGAUUCUAGUCAUAAAGGAACUGAAGGCCAGAGGGAUUUGAGGGGCUUCUCCAGAUAAGACACCAGAAACCCCAACAUUUGAGCAACAGAUUGCAUUGUCCUGGAAGCAGUAUGCUGAAGCAUCACUAACUAUUGUUUCAAGUUGAGACACUCAGCGAUACUGAGCGAGUGCCUGAGCUCCUGGUCUUCAGACAAGUGCAUAGCUUUGCUACUCUGAAGAAAGCAGCUGCCCCAAGCCUUUUACACAGCAUGACAGUUCUGCUGGUACUGGACUGUGAAGGCUGGCCUGGGAAGGUGCUGCUUACACAACACCAGGAAACACACAUCUGUAAACCCUCAGCAUGCUCCACUGGGCAGAACGGAGGAGGCUGCUAUGAGACGAUUGCAUUCAGGUGAUCUUUCCUUCAUGCACACCAUCCAACCUUACUCGAAGAAGAUCAAGCAAAUGCACACCUACUUCCCAUCACAGACUCAGAGCUGUUGUUUGCUGUGGGGUACAGCAGAGUUCGGAAACCAUCCACUUCACAAAAUCUCCACUCCUCACCGAGAAGGCCUUCAAACCCAGAACUGUUGCAGCUAGAGCAGCACCACUCAUCUGAUUGCACAGAAACCACCAGAAGCACAUUUGAUUCUCCUAGAUUUACCUUACGCCCCUAUCUACCCAACUCGAUGCUCUUUCUCUCUCAAAGAACAGAAAGAAGAAGAAGAAGAAAAAAAACCCAGAUAACCAAAGCAAACAUACAAACAAAGCAGAUCUAAUUUUAGCACUAUGAUGAAUGGCCCAGGAAUGAAUUCCACUGCCCUCCACAAAAAGGAAGAUACAUCAGACCUGCCCAGGUGUGUGUCAUUUCCUUGUCUUGGGAGCUCUCAGCUUUCAAAUGGCAGCCUGGAUUUUUCUGGAUGGAAGCUCCAUUGUGUCUGUGUUUUGGCUUGGCACCAUCGGAAGCACUUUCAAUAAGCAGGGAGUCGCUUAACUCUCACCGCAUGCCUCCGGCAAGGAAGGUCUAUCCUACGUCUGUGGAUGGAGCGUGGUGGUGGCUAGGGAUCUGCAACUGCCCAAAGUCUCAAGGCCGAUAUGGCAGCACUAGGCGUUGUAUGAACCCAGACGCUCUGAAUCAGAGUUCCAUCAAGACCAUGCCUCCUCUGCCUUAGCAGAUCAUAGCCUGACCGCAAGAAAGGCUAGAUUCUAUGUCAAGAAAGUCUACUUUAAAAGGCUGGCAAGCAUGUGGGACAUUUUGGGAAAUGUUUCU